GCGACCCCGUUCUGCCUCCCGUAUUCGGAUCCAAAACCCUAGGCGACGCCGGCAGCCGGAUCCCAUGUUCCGCUCGCCCCGUCAAGCCGUCGCUCCUCCACCACGCUUACCCGGCGUUCCGCUCGCCCCGUCAAGUCGUCGCUCCUCCACCACGCUUACCCGUCCCACGCCGCGUCGGCCUCCUCGCCCGCCCUCCCGUUCCCCCGGGGACCGAAGCUUUCCAGGGGCCUCGAUGUGCCCAACCUAAAGAAGCGAUGCGAGAGGUUCGUCUCCACCAUGCCCUGCCCCAGGCGCUUCGACCUCCACUGCGAGCACGAGGCGGGCAAGACGGAGCCACCGCCGCCGCAGGCCCACGUCGUCGAGCUCACCGCUCACGACCGCCUCUAUGGAGCCUGUGGCCAGUCAUAGGCCGACCCAAACCUGUGGCCCGCCGUCGUGCAGGUGCGCCAGCACCAUGCCAGGGUGCCCUGUGCUGCUGGAAACCGAGUGAAGCCGGCAGCCGUCGCCAAGGAGGGUGCCGCUGCCACUGCGCCGUAGUCUCUGGCCAGCACAUCCCUGGGGACCCGUCCACCUCCUUCUUUGUCUUCACGGGAGGAGUGUCCCGUCGUGCUCCCACAUGCGCUUGCUGCAGCGUUCGUCAAGACCGAUAAAUAUUUCUAGGCUAUGGGUAAGUAUAUUUGACAAUAACGACGACAUGUUUUAUAGAAUUACUUCGGCCUUAAACAUGCAUAUAAUAAACAUGCAUAUAUUUCUUAGGCAGACACACAUUUACGUGUGGGAGCAGAACAUAUGAGAGCUUUGGUUAUAGUUAGAGUUUUCUUUGUUAACUUCCUUUUCAUGUUUCAAUAUUUAUGAGACCUUUUCUUCACUGUUUCAACUGACAUUUGUGAUAAUAGAUGAGUGGGUUGUGACUAACAUAUGUCGGUGAUUCACAUUGCAUACGAGAAUCUACUUAGGAUCAAAGGUACUUUUUAUCAGCUGAUCAUCGCUUUGACUCCAACUCAAAUAACGCGUGACGCCAUGUGGGAGCAAAGUUGGGAAAAUGGAUAUUGGUGGUGGUCCAGAGGUACUGAAGCAAUUGAAGGACAAAGCACUAAAGAGAGCGGGGCUGACUGAAGAAACAUUGCAAGAGCAGAUUGAGCAGAGAAACGUUGCAAGGAAGAAUAAACAGUUUGAGAUAUCUGAUGGAAUCAGGAAAAACCUUGCUACCAAGGGCAUCGCCCUGAUGGAUGAACCUUCUGGUACAGUGUGGAGACCAUGCGAACCAGAGGGAUCUGAAGAGUCAUGAUUAUACGCCGCACCCACUCAACAAAUGAUGUAUUCUUCACUCAGGGGCAGGGGGGUCUGAAGCUGACCCUUUUCAACUGCAUCUACUGCAUGGAUUAUACAUGGGCGUCGUCGCAGCGAGCAGCC